AUUGAACGCUGGCGGCAUGCUUUACACAUGCAAGUCGAACGGCAGCGCGGGCUUUGGCCUGGCGGCGAGUGGCGAACGGGUGAGUAAUACAUCGGAACGUGCCCAGUAGUGGGGGAUAGCUCGGCGAAAGCCGGAUUAAUACCGCAUACGACCUGAGGGUGAAAGCGGGGGAUCUUCGGACCUCGCGCUAUUGGAGCGGCCGAUGGCAGAUUAGCUAGUUGGUGGGGUAAAGGCCUACCAAGGCGACGAUCUGUAGCUGGUCUGAGAGGACGACCAGCCACACUGGGACUGAGACACGGCCCAGACUCCUACGGGAGGCAGCAGUGGGGAAUUUUGGACAAUGGGCGAAAGCCUGAUCCAGCAAUGCCGCGUGUGUGAUGAAGGCCUUCGGGUUGUAAAGCACUUUUGGCGGGAACGAAAAGGACUGUGCCAAUACCACGGUUCGAUGACGGUACCCGCAGAAUAAGCACCGGCUAACUACGUG
rnacentral:rRNA from 1 species